GUAGACAUAGUUUAAAUAAAAUCCUAGAUUGUGAUUCUAGUAAUAGGGGUUAAACCCCCCUUGUCCACC
rnacentral:tRNA from 1 species